CAAAACGUAGCUUAACUAAAGCCUCUCGCUUACACCGAGACCAUACUUGUUAAAUUCAAGUCGUUUUGA
rnacentral:tRNA from 1 species